GGGGAAUUUUGGACAAUGGGGGCAACCCUGAUCCAGCCAUGCCGCGUGAGUGAAGAAGGCCUUCGGGUUGUAAAGCUCUUUCGGACGGAAAGAAAACGGAUGGGUUAAUACCCUGUUCGGAUGACGGUACCGUCAUAAGACGCACCGGCUAACUACGUGCCAGCAGCCGCGGUAAUACGUAGGGUGCGAGCGUUAAUCGGAAUUACUGGGCGUAAAGCGUGCGCAGGCGGUGGUUUAAGUCCGUUGUGAAAGCCCUGGGCUCAACCUGGGAACUGCAGUGGAUACUGGAUCACUAGAGUGUGGCAGAGGGUAGUGGAAUUCCCGGUGUAGCAGUGAAAUGCGUAGAGAUCGGGAGGAACAUCACUGGCGAAGGCGACUGCCUGGGCCAACACUGACACUGAGGCACGAAAGCGUGGGGAGCAAACA
rnacentral:rRNA from 1 species